AAAGAAAGCGCGCACACACACUCACGAGAAAGCAGCCUCCACGGAGGGAUUACUGAUUGCAACAGGAACGGAAUUUCUUCCUUGCUGCCUUGUUCGGAUUGUCAGACCUCCCACUCUCUGGAUGUCAUAAACUGCAAGUUGAGCUCAUUCUGGACCUCUCAGCCUUCCAGACCCAUGGCAUUGCAGUGAGGUGUGAACAGCUUGACAUGAGCCUUCUGAAAACCAUGCUAGAAGAGCACUUCUCAAACUUGCUGUUCACAGGUGAUGAUCCUGAGCAAGCUGGAUGUUGCAGCACCAGAGCCCUUUGUCCUGAUGACUGUAGACCUGAGCCCUCCCAGAGUCACCUGUAUUUCCUCCAGUCCCCACUUCACUUACCCCAUAAACUUCUUCAAGUUUGCUUGUUCCUGGGUUUAUGGAGAGGAGAAAGCAUUUUUGCCAGAGUUUAAGAAGAGCUGUUUGAGACUCCUGCUUGUACGUCUUAGAGAAAAUGGCUGAAUCACAGAGUGCAGAAGUGCUUCAGCAGUGAUCUGCCUCCACUAGAACUGAGCAGGACUGCUGUGUGCCUGAACUAGAAAAUCCCAGAAGACUUAAUAAUGGAACUGGGAAAAAAAAAACUAGAAGCUUUUCUUCAGUGUACUUCCUUGUAGGAUUUGGAAAGGAAAAAGAAGUUCAACUUUUUGCAGCCACAGCUUUUUCCUUGAAGUAAUUGAUUUUCUGAGUAAUAGUGUGAUGUUGAGGAACUGCAAGGGGACUGGAAUUAUUUCUCUGUACAAUCACUGACAACUACAGAAGGACAUUUCAACUGCUGCAAAGUGAAAGGCUGCAAGAAAGUCCACGUGGCGUGACAAAGGCCUGACUUUUGCUCUGCCCAUCUUCUAGAUGACAGUUAAGUCAAUUUUCUCUUUUCAGGUCACUGAAGAUCUGUAAGAUUUUUUAGUAGACUAAAGGUCUGUCCAGUCUCAGCUUUCUCUUUAUAUUUUAAGUAUUCCUCUUCAUAAAGGGAAAUAGCCUUUGUUUUGAAAACUAAACAUGCCAGAUUUAGAAUCACUGCUUGAAGCACAGCUUGAAGGCAAAGCGUGUUCCUUGCCCCAGAUUUGCACACUCACUGUGGCAAUACAGGGUGUAUGUUAUUCAGCUUCAUAUACAAACUCUAACGCUCCUUGGCCAUUGGGAUCAGCAUCUCCUGGGAAGGAGCCCAUGGACCUAAGCACUGAUUUCAGCCAUGGCAUGACUGGCCAGUCUCUUCUGCAGAUGAGGACACUGAGUCCAAGUUAAGCAGUGCAGUGCAACCAAAGCCUUAAUUCAGCACUCAUCCUACAUAAAGCUACAGCUCAUCUAAACACUGCCUGUGUGAGGACAUGAUCAUACAAAUGUUUUAACUGUACCUUCAGCACCUUUCCUGAAAAUCUUUUAAGUGGAGAAUUUCCAGCAUCUGUUCUGCUUUGGUUGUCCUAAACAUGGAAGUUCUGAUUAUAUACAACAUUCAAGAGGCAUGUCACUGUUACCUAAAACUGUGGAAGUGAUAAUCCUCUAUGCUUUCCUGGAAUCAUCUCACUUCGAUCCAGCUUAGCUUUGAAGUUGUCUUUCAGUGACUGCCUCACAAAGAACCUGAAAGUCACCCUGGACCUGGACACAGUGCUCUGAUCACUGCUAUUGCUGUCUGGUUCUUGAGCUCCAUCAGUAACCCUCUACUAUCAAAAUUUCCUCUUGAAGGAAAUUCCUCCUUCCUUCCCAUCAUGUCCCACAUAGC